GAAGGUAUAGCUCAGUGGUAGAGUGCAUGCCUAGCACGGCAUGAGGUCCUAGGUUCAAUCCCCAGUACCUCUA
rnacentral:tRNA from 1 species